AGCAAUAGGUUGCCAGGUAACUCUUCCCUUAUCUUAUUUCGAAACAUUAGGGACAAUGCUCGAUUUAAGUGUGGAGGAGCAUUUAUCGUUUUCCUUUUAUUUUCAGUUUUAUUUGUUGUUUUUUCUUCUUUUUUUUAGUUGUUUAUUUGCUGUUUUUAGUUGUUUAAUUUCCCUUUUAGUUAUUUAUUUUACUUUUUAGUAUAAUACAUGAGUCUGACGAGUCACCGAAUAUAGUAAAUCUUUAGUACAAUCUAGUCUCCCC
rnacentral:lncRNA from 1 species